rnacentral:rRNA from 1 species
UACGAAGGGGGCUAGCGUUGCUCGGAAUCACUGGGCGUAAAGCGUGCGUAGGCGGUUGUCUAAGUUUGGUGUGAAAUCUCCCGGCUUAACUGGGAGGGUGCGCCGAAAACUGGGUGACUGGAGUGUCGGAGAGGUAAGCGGAAUUCCUGGUGUAGCGGUGAAAUGCGCAGAUAUCAGGAGGAACACCGGUGGCGAAGGCGGAUCUCGUGGGCCUUAGCCUGACGCUCGAGGUGCGAAAGCUA